rnacentral:RNase_P_RNA from 1 species
GCGGAUGGCUGGAUGAUCGCGCCGGGAAAUCGGUGAGGAAAGUCCGGACUCCUUGAAGCGACGGCGCCGGAUAACGUCCGGCCAGGGCAACCUGAGGGAAAGCGCCACAGAAAUCAGACCUCCCGGCGACGGGGAAGGGUGAAACGGUGGAGUAAGAGACCACCGCCGGGCUGGCAACAGACCGGGCACGGCAAGCCCCGCCGGGAGCAAGGCCAAAUAGGGAUCGCGCGCCUUUCGGGGCAUGGCUGCUUCACCACAGCGAUCCGGGUUGGCUGCGUGAGGCGUUGCGCAAGCAACGUCCCAGACGAAUGGUCAUCCAUGGGAUUCGAUGGAAUCCCGGGACAAAAUCCGGCUUACAGGCCAUCCGCACAG